UUCAAUAAACCAGUUAAACCCAGCGCUGUCAGACCCUGAGACCUCGGAAGAAAAGAUGUAGGUUCUGUUCUCAAGGGUAAGGUCCGAGCCUGUAUCGUGUGUGAUGGCAUGCUGUGGAAGGCCAGGCCCACUGUAUUCCUGGAUGGCAGAGGGGCUCCAUUCCGUGGCACAUACCUGGAGGCUGGUGACGGUGAGGCGGCGAGCGUCAUCUGAGAGGGAGGCCACAGGCACCACAAAGGGACUGUCUGGCACCACUGGCUCCUCUGUGGCCUGGGGCAAGGGGAGAGGAACAGUCAUGGGCUGGGGAAGGCCUAGGGAGCUUGGCCUGAGUCCCAACUGAAGUCAGAGAAAGUGCGGAAAGAACAAGAUGGUUAACGGUGAAACCAGAACGGCAGGAGAGGUGUGUCAGCUGCAGAAGAGGUGCCGUGCUCAGCUCGGGGAUCCGUCUGCCCAGCCUGGCUCCCGCCUGCUCCCCAAGAUGGCUCCCAGACCGUGCCCCAGCCCUUGGCCACCAGGAUCAGAAGGAAGAAAUGAAGGAGCAGGAGGAGGAGGAGGGUGAGGUAUCCCCCAGGGUCCACCACAUCCUUCACUGGCACCCGGAAUGGGCUCCCUGCAAGGAGAAGGACGUCAACCCCUGCCCACCUGCCCGGGAAGAGGUCUUCCCUGCCCUCCCUGCCUUUGAAAUACCCCCGAGAGGCCAAACCAACAUGUGCAAAUGCUUAAACUGGGUCAAAUAAACCUGGCCGCAGACUAAGGUGAGGCAAACCUCAUGUGCUGGGUCACAGGAAGAAGACCUUCCUGCGAUAAUAAAGUGCUAAAAAUGGAUUAUCUUAAAA